rnacentral:rRNA from 1 species
UACGAAGGGGGCUAGCGUUGCUCGGAUUGACUGGGCGUAAAGGGCGCGUAGGCGGUUCGUACAGUCAGACGUGAAAUUCCUGGGCUCAACCUGGGGGCUGCGUUUGAUACGUGCGGACUUGAGUGCGGAAGAGGGUCGUGGAAUUCCCAGUGUAGAGGUGAAAUUCGUAGAUAUUCGCAAGAACACCAGCGGCGGAGGCGGCUCACUGGCCCGAUACUGACGCUGAGGCACGAAAGCGUGGGGAGCAAACAGG